AUACGUAGGGGGCAAGCGUUGUCCGGAAUGACUGGGCGUAAAGGGCGCGUAGGCGGCCUUGUAAGUCUUAUGUGAAAGUCCUGCUUUCAAGGUGGGAAUUGCAUGGGAAACUAUGAGGCUUGAGUGCAGAAGAGGCAAGUGGAAGUCCCAGUGUAGAGGUGACAUGCGUAGAGAUUGGGAGGAACACCAGUGGCGAAGGCGACUUGCUGGGCUGUAACGGACGCUGAGGCGCGAAAGCGUGGGGAGCGAACAGGAUUAGAUACCCUGGUAGUCCACGCGGUAAACGAGGAAUGCUAGGUGUAGGGGGUAUCGACCCCUCCUGUGCCGGAGUAAACACAAUAAGCAUUCCGCCUGGGGAGUACGGCCGCAAGGUUGAAACUCAAAUGAAUUGACGGGG
rnacentral:rRNA from 1 species